GACGAACGCUGGCGGCGUGCCUAACACAUGCAAGUCGAACGGAGUUAAGUCUUCGGAUUUAACUUAGUGGCGAACGGGUGAGUAACGCGUGAGGAACCUGCCUUUCAGUGGGGGACAACAGUUGGAAACGACUGCUAAUACCGCAUAAUGUUAUCGGUCGCAUGGCCUGAUAACCAAAGAUUUAUUGCUGAAAGAUGGCCUCGCGUCUGAUUAGAUAGUUGGUGGGGUAACGGCCUACCAAGUCGACGAUCAGUAGCCGGACUGAGAGGUUGAACGGCCACAUUGGGACUGAGAUACGGCCCAG
rnacentral:rRNA from 1 species